rnacentral:rRNA from 1 species
UACGAAGGGUGCAAGCGUUACUCGGAAUUACUGGGCGUAAAGCGCACGUAGGCGGUCUUUUAAGUCGGGGGUGAAAUCCUGGAGCUCAACUCCAGAACUGCCUUCGAAUACUGGAAGACUCGAGUCCGGGAGAGGUGAGUGGAACUGCGAGUGUAGAGGUGAAAUUCGUAGAUAUUCGCAAGAACACCAGUGGCGAAGGCGGCUCACUGGCCCGGUACUGACGCUGAGGUGCGAAAGCGUGGGGAGCAAACAGG